UUAUUGAUUAGGUAUGGAAAGCCACGUGGCCUUAUGUUAGGUUUAGUAUUUUCGAAUCAAACCCACGAUCGAUUUAUAUGAAAGGGCAGGAUGAUUUUCUUAGCAUGGCGACAGCACCGAUGUGUUUUAUAUUUUGACAAGGAUAUUGCCGCAAGGGCCGGGGGCGAUUUUGUCGUCCCGUACGGAGGAUACAUGGCGGGGGUGGAAGCAUCGGAGUAGAGGCUAUCUUGUGGCCUCCCACACUGCUGGUCGUUGCCCGCGAAGACCGUCGCCCUCUGCGCCACGAGCGGCUCCACCACAGGGAUCCUUGCUCAUAAACGUGUUUGCUAGCUCCAUCUUGUACUCCUUCCUGUAAUAUAUCAACAUGCACAGCUAAGUUGGUUCACUUCUACACACACACAGAGAGAAAGCUCCUGGACAAAUCGAUAUGCUACAUACAUGUGCACAGUUUCGGGACAAAUCGGUAUGCACAACCAAGCUGGUUUGCUAAGUUAUACUCCCUCCGUCCCAAAAUAAGUGUCUCAACUUUAUACUAAUUUAGUACAAAGUUGUACUAAGCUUGAGACACUUAUUUUGAAACGGAGGGAGUAUUAUAGGAAAACCUAUGUCAGGAUGAGCUUUGCAUAUCAACACAAACGUGUAUACCCAAGCCUCUAUUGCAGGCAAAGUUUUUGCCCCAAGAUUCACCCACUUGUAUGAAAGUGAUCCAUGGUGAAUUGUGUACAUGACACGUGCUAUUAUUUUGGUAAAUGGCCGUGUAGAAACGCCUUGUGGAUUCGGUUUUUUGUUUCAAAUUUUUUAAACUGGUGUGAUGGUUCGUUUGGUUGCUUUAGCAUUUUUGAUUGGAUGUGGGGUAGGCUGCGUGGUUGUUCUUCUUAUGUGCUUCUUUUGCGUUGAUCGGUUUAUGUUUCAACCGCUGCUGGCCCAAUCGAUGCGUCGCUUUCGAUUCAGCUGCUGGCCCAAUCGAUGCGUCGCUUUCGGUUCAUGCCGAUUCAGUUUUAGUCGGGUUUAUUUUGCUGUGCCAUGUUAUCACGCAACAUAUAUUUCCCCCACGAAAAGUUGAGAAAAGAAUUCAGUAUAUGCCAGAGAAUACACGACCAAGAAGAAGGAUACAAGUUUGCAGCAGAGCAGGUUCACAACGAAGCAUGCUGAAAUCCAGAUACACAUUGUCUGAAUAAAUAACGUAACUGAAACGAGCGUGCAGGGAAAAGAAAGCAAGAAAAAAAAGGGGAGAAGGGAGUUAACACCACGGUCAAAUCCCUCAACGGUGGCGCGCUCACCGCAGAGGGAGGACGCGCGACCGGCGAGGAGGAUGGCCACGGCGCAGAGUUGCCGCGCUCCUCUUCCUCCCUCUCACGCAGAAAAGAAAAAGGGGGACACGACGAGCGCCUCUCUGUCUCUCUCUCGCGCGCGCGGAAACAGAGAUGGGAGGGGAAGGGGCUGCCUCACCAGUGCCGCCCUGGCUCGCUGCGCCGGCGGUGGCUCGCGCACCGGAACCGAGCAGGCGGGCGAGAGAGGAACGGACGAGCGAGAGAGGUGCUGGGGCGGAAUGGCGUUAGGGUUUCUG
rnacentral:lncRNA from 1 species